rnacentral:sRNA from 1 species
GUCACUUUCUGAGAACAGAUGUGAUCAUCCUCACCUCCUGUCCUGCUCCUCAGUGAGAUCUUGGAACAUCCAGAAGUUGAAUCCUUUCUAUACAAGAGAAUAAGAUAAUCCUGUGAGCAUAGAAAAACUGUUCCAGUUCUCUAGACAGGGAAGGCACCAUGGAGAGGCAGGCCUGGACAGGCCCUGGCAGCCCCACAUGCUUUCCUGACGCUGGGUCAAGAUGUGAAGACCAGUGUUGGUGGGGAGCUCAGUGGUAGAGCAUGCUCGCCUAACAUGCCUGAGGCCCUGGGUUCAAGUCUCAGCCCUGAAAAUACAUCAAAGAAAAACGAAGAUAAAUUUAUAGGCUCCCAGCAUGGUUCUCUGCAUGGAAAAGCUAAGGUCAGCAUAAAGAACAUGAUUUAUCAGGAGCGAGUCUUCCAAACCUCUGCUUCAUUCCCUGGGACUAUUUUGACUUGGAUGAAGGCAGUUGUGUCAUUAGCAGAUGGUUGUGUCAUUUCGAGCCAUCAGAAAAGAAUUCUGCAUUAUGAAAAGAAAACCUGAAAGUGAUCACCCAUUUUUUAACUGACCUUUUCAAAUUGUGAGAGUGUUUUGACUGAACAAUUAAAACAAAUUCUGUAGAUCUCAUUACUA